rnacentral:rRNA from 1 species
CUCGUAGGCGGCCCGUUAGGUCAGGAGUCAAAUUCGGGGGGCUCAACCCCCCGCGCGCUCCUGAUACCGGCGGGCUUGAGUUUGGUAGGGGAAGGUGGAAUUCCCAGUGUAGCGGUGGAAUGCGCAGAUAUUGGGAAGAACACCGGUGGCGAAGGCGGCCUUCUGGGCCAUAACUGACGCUGAGGAGCGAAAGCUAGGGGAGCGAACA